GGGCCUAUAGCUCAACGGUCAGAGCGGUCGGCUCAUAACCGAUUGGUUCCCGGUUCGAAUCCGGGUGGGCCCA
rnacentral:tRNA from 1 species